CCCCACAUGACACUGUGCAGUUGCCUGUGCCCCUUAGCAUAACCAAGGUCAGGCACUGGUCCCAAGGUCACACAGGGCCAGAGCUCAGAUUUAAACAAAGCUGAGUGAUUCUAGAACCUGUGUGUGCCAAAGCACUACAUUCUACCUAAGUGCUGGGUUUUUUGUUUUUCAUCUAAAACAGCCUACAGAAUCCUGGCCUUGGCUUUCUCACCAGACUUCUGGGAAGGUCAAAUGAGAUAAUAUAUGCAAAAGCACUCUGUCAGUGAAAAGUGCUCUGUUUCUGGUCUAAUAACCCUCCCCAACCCACUCACAGUUCUUCAUUUUCAAAUUCCUUAAUGAGCAGUUGGUUUCGUUGUCUUGAUUUGGGGCAGUAAUGAUUUCUGAGAAGCAGGUGAUUGAUACGCGCAAAUUCAAAGCCCCUCGGGGGCUGCAUUGUAGCAUGGUGUGGAGAUGGGGAAACAGAGGGCUGGUAGGAUCCCGAAUUCCUAGCUUUUCUCUCCCUCUCCCUUGCUUCUUUGUUUUCUUCCUUCAGGCUUUCUUCCAUUUCUUUCUUCCAUCAAAUAUUUGUGGAGCUGGAACUGGGCUUCACUAUCAUAUUCCAAGGCCCUGUACUGGGAACAGACGAAGAAGCUCCUCCCAGAGACUGGAAGAAUGGUACAAGGUGUGAAAACCAAGGCUUAAAGCAUGCAGGUUAUUUGCCCAAGGUUUUUCAGCCACAAAUGAAGAAGCUGAGUCUGCUCCACACCUGUGAACCAGGCUAUUUCCACCAUAACCUGAACUCAGAUUAGCACCAGCCCAUGGAGAAUAGUCCAGAAGGCUGCCCAUAGCCUUAAAGGACAGUGUGAGCAUUAAUCACAGCCUGUUGCAUUUGAAGACCACCUCCGGAACAAGCAGCCCCACAAAAUGAGUGUUAUAUUCUGGAUUAUCAGAAGAGAAAUGUGAGAUGCAGGCAGGUUGAGAAAAUUGCUCCAAGUCACUUCGGGAAUGUGUGCAUGGACAAGGAGGUUCUUAUUUCCCCCUCAUUGAGUCUGGGCUGGCCGUGUGGCUGUUCAACCAACAGAAAGCAGCAGAAGUGUACUGUGCAGUCCGUGGCUUUUAGAGAACUGUGGCUUUCUCUGCCUCCUUCUUGGAAUCCACUUACCAUGUUGAGAGGGGCCCAAGCCACAUAGAGGCCAACAGCCAAGUAUUUGCAGCCAUCUGGGUGAGCCAUCUAGGACAUUCCACGCCAGUCAGGCCCCUGGAUUGGAGCAGUGGAGCAGACAUGGAGCAGAUGCAGCCCAGCGAAGAAGGCCAGUAUCACAGGCCAGAACAAAAUGUUUUAAGCCAUUAAAUUUUGGUGUGACUUGCUCUGCAGCCAGAGAUAACUGAAAUAGGUGUAACCGAAAAGUCCGUAAGAAGGAAGAUUUACCUUGCUAACCAAUGCAGAAUAACAAAGCACAGGAAAUAACAUCUGCUGAGUCAGAAGACAACUGUCUGGAACAGGUGAUGACAUCCUUAGCCUUUAGUAGGUUUUGACUUCAAAACUGACCCCGGCUUUCACGCCUCUUUUUGAUG